GGAGGAAUGCGAGAGCGGCCGAAUCGGCACGCUUGGAAAGCGUGUGAGGGGCAACCCUCCCAGGGUUCGAAUCCCUGUUCCUCCGCCA
rnacentral:tRNA from 1 species